UACGGAGGGAGCUAGCGUUGUUCGGAAUUACUGGGCGUAAAGCGCGCGUAGGCGGUUUUUUAAGUCUGUUGUGAAAUCCCCGAGCUCAACUUGGGAAUUGCAAUGGAUACUGGCAGGCUGGAGUAUGGUAGAGGAAGGUGGAAUUCCCGGUGUAGCAGUGAAAUGCGUAGAGAUCGGGAGGAACACCAGUGGCGAAGGCGGCCUUCUGGACCAAUACUGACACUGAGGCACGAAAGCGUGGGGGGCAAACAGG
rnacentral:rRNA from 1 species